rnacentral:lncRNA from 1 species
GUGCAGUGGUGUGAUCUCGGCUCACUGUGACCUCUGCCUCCUGGGUUUAAGCGAUUCUCCUGCCUCAGCCUCCCGAGUAACUGGGACUACAGCUGCAGGAAACAGAAAAUGCACUGCCUAGAUGGACCCUCUGACUCCCCACCACCCAGGCUGGAGCGGCAGAGGCUGCCAGGAAGAGCCAGAAAACAGGUGAACCCAAGGCCACUCCCUCCCCAGCCUGAGGAACACUCGACUGGUAAGGGGAGAAAUGCCUCAAAUGAGCAUGUGCACAACUUCAGUAAACAUGCUGUGCAUGUGGCCCCUCCCAAGUGCCCGCAGGCCACCACGCAAGUGGACAGCCCUGGACAGCCUGCCCCUAGGGAAGAAUCAAGGGAGGAGAAACAGAAGCCCUGGAACUGUGCUAGUAUAUAAAACCCCAAGUCAAGGGCCGAAUGGCAAACUUGGAUCUCUCAAGUCACCUGCUUGGCCCCCUUCCAAGUGUACUUUACUUCCAUUUGUUCCUGCUCUAAAACUUUUUAAUAAACUUUCACUCCUGCUCUAAAA